AUUGAACGCUGGCGGCAUGCCUUACACAUGCAAGUCGAACGGUAACGGGCCUUCGGGUGCCGACGAGUGGCGCACGGGUGAGUAAUACAUCGGAACGUGCCCGAUCGUGGGGGAUAACGAGGCGAAAGCUUUGCUAAUACCGCAUACGAUCUACGGAUGAAAGCAGGGGACCGCAAGGCCUUGCGCGGACGGAGCGGCCGAUGGCAGAUUAGGUAGUUGGUGGGAUAAAAGCUUACCAAGCCGACGAUCUGUAGCUGGUCUGAGAGGAUGAUCAGCCACACUGGGACUGAGACACGGCCCAGACUCCUACGGGAGGCAGCAGUGGGGAAUUUUGGACAAUGGGCGCAAGCCUGAUCCAGCCAUGCCGCGUGCAGGAUGAAGGCCUUCGGGUUGUAAACUGCUUUUGUACGGAACGAAAAGCCUUCUUUUAAUACAGGAGGGUCAAGGCGGUACCGUAAGAAUAAGCACCGGCUAACUACGUG
rnacentral:rRNA from 1 species